GAUGAACGCUAGCGGCAGGCCUAACACAUGCAAGUCGAGGGGUAACAUAGGAAAGCUUGCUUUUCUGAUGACGACCGGCGCACGGGUGCGUAACGCGUAUACAACCUACCUUUUAGCGGGGAAUAGCCCAGGGAAACUUGGAUUAAUGCCCCAUAGUAUGGAGAUCUCUCCUGAGAUUUUCAUUAAACAUUUAUGGCUAUUAGAUGGGUAUGCGUCCUAUUAGUUAGUUGGUAAGGUAACGGCUUACCAAGGCAGCGAUAGGUAGGGGUCCUGAGAGGGAGAUCCCCCACACUGGUACUGAGACACGGACCAGACUCCUACGGGAGGCAGCAGUGAGGAAUAUUGGACAAUGGGCGAGAGCCUGAUCCAGCCAUGCCGCGUGCAGGAAGACUGCCCUAUGGGUUGUAAACUGCUUUUACAGAGGAAGAAUCGCCACUACGUGUAGUGGUUUGACGGUACUCUGCGAAUAAGGAUCGGCUAACUCCGUGCCAGCCGCCGCAGUAAAC
rnacentral:rRNA from 1 species